GACGAACGCUGGCGGCGUGCCUAAUACAUGCGAGUCGAACGAGAGCGACCGGUGCUUGCACUGGUCAAUCUAGUGGCGAACGGGUGAGUAACACGUGGGUAACCUGCCCAUCAGAGGGGGAUAACAUCCGGAAACGGAUGCUAAAACCGCAUAGGUCUUCGAACCGCAUGGUUUGAAGAGGAAAAGAGGCGCAAGCUUCUGCUGAUGGAUGGACCCGCGGUGCAUUAGCUAGUUGGUGAGGUAACGGCUCACCAAGGCCGUGAUGCAUAGCCGACCUGAGAGGGUGAUCGGCCACAUUGGGACUGAGACACGGCCCAAACUCCUACGGGAGGCAGCAGUAGGGAAUCUUCCGCAAUGGACGCAAGUCUGACGGAGCAACGCCGCGUGAGUGAAGAAGGUUUUCGGAUCGUAAAACUCUGUUGUUAGAGAAGAACAAGUGCUAGAGUAACUGCUAGCGCCUUGACGGUAUCUAACCAGAAAGCCACGGCUAACUACGUG
rnacentral:rRNA from 1 species